GAUGAACGCUGGCGGCGUGCCUAACACAUGCAAGUCGAGCGGCAGCGAGGGGUGCUUGCACCCUGUCGGCGAGCGGCGGACGGCUGAGUAACGCGUGGGAACGUGCCCCAAAGUGAGGAAUAACUGCCCGAAAGGGUAGCUAAUACCGCAUAUUAUCUUCGGAUCAAAGGAUUUAUCCGCUUUGGGAGCGGCUCGCGUCGGAUUAGGUAGUUGGUGAGGUAAUGGCUCACCUAGCCGACGAUCCGUAGCUGGUCUGAGAGGAUGACCAGCCAGACUGGAACUGAGACACGGUCCAGACUCCGACGGGAGGCAGCAGUGAGGAAUAUUCCACAAUGGGCGAAAGCCUGAUGGAGCAACGCCGCGUGCAGGACGAAGGCCUUCGGGUUGUAAACUGCUUUUAUAAGUGAGGAAUAUGACGGUAACUUAUGAAUAAGGAUCGGCUAACUACGUG
rnacentral:rRNA from 1 species